rnacentral:sRNA from 1 species
GGGGCUGGGAAGGAUGGUCUUGCGGGGCUGUGGCUGCCUUCAGGUCACGCUCUGGGUCUUUGUGGCAGGAACUGGCAGCCGCGGAGCGUGCCAAGCGCCAGGCCCAGCAGGAGCGGGAUGAGCUGGCUGAUGAGAUCGCCAACAGCAGCGGCAAAGGAGCCCUGGCAUUAGAGGAGAAGCGGCGUCUGGAGGCCCGCAUCGCCCAGCUGGAGGAGGAGCUGGAGGAGGAGCAGGGCAACACGGAGCUGAUCAACGACCGGCUGAAGAAGGCCAACCUGCAGAUCGACCAGAUCAACACCGACCUGAACCUGGAGCGCAGCCACGCCCAGAAGAACGAGAACGCUCGACAGCAGCUGGAACGCCAGAACAAGGAGCUCAAGGUCAAGCUGCAGGAGAUGGAGGGCACUGUCAAGUCCAAGUACAAGGCCUCCAUCACCGCCCUCGAGGCCAAGAUCGCACAGCUGGAGGAACAGCUGGACAACGAGACCAAGGAGCGCCAGGCAGCCUGCAAACAGGUGCGUCGGACCGAGAAGAAGCUGAAGGAUGUGCUGCUGCAGGUGGAUGACGAGCGGAGGAACGCCGAGCAGUACAAGGACCAGGUGUGGGCGCUGGUGGGGCAGUGAGAAGGGCAGCGGGGCUGGGCAGCAGAUGGGGUGACAGGCAGGGCAGUGGGGCUGGCUGGCUGCACGCCCAGAGCCCCUAACCGGGGCCACGGGCCACACGUCCAUCUCUGCAGGCCGACAAGGCAUCCACCCGCCUGAAGCAGCUCAAGCGGCAGCUGGAGGAGG